rnacentral:rRNA from 1 species
GACGAACGCUGGCGGCGUGCCUAAUACAUGCAAGUUGAGCGCUGAAGGUUGGUACUUGUACCGACUGGAUGAGCAGCGAACGGGUGAGUAACGCGUGGGGAAUCUGCCUUUGAGCGGGGGACAACAUUUGGAAACGAAUGCUAAUACCGCAUAAAAACUUUAAACACAAGUUUUAAGUUUGAAAGAUGCAAUUGCAUCACUCAAAGACGAUCCCGCGUUGUAUUAGCUAGUUGGUGAGGUAAAGGCUCACCAAGGCGAUGAUACAUAGCCGACCUGAGAGGGUGAUCGGCCACAUUGGGACUGAGACACGGCCCAAACUCCUACGGGAGGCAGCAGUAGGGAAUCUUCGGCAAUGGACGAAAGUCUGACCGAGCAACGCCGCGUGAGUGAAGAAGGUUUUCGGAUCGUAAAACUCUGUUGGUAGAGAAGAACGUUGGUGAGAGUGGAAAGCUCAUCAAGUGACGGUAACUACCCAGAAAGGGACGGCUAACUACGUG